CCAAUCUGCGGCUGCCCCCCUCCAGUCUCAGGCAUAGCUGCAGCCAUCCCGUAUCUUUAAAGAAUCUGGUGCAUCAGGGGAAUUAGAGGAAAGAUGCUCCUCCUUCCACUGCUUUCUUCAUACUUACUUUCAUAGCAGGAGCCGCUCCCUCCCACCUCCAGAGACUGGAGGCUGCCAUCUUGCUCAUUUAUCACCCACUCCACUUCCUACCAGCCCAGGUGCAAAUACAGAGCUCCAGGUGGCUCCGGUUAAACACAUCCAUCUCACCGAGGUGAAGGGGUCUUCUGUGGUUGGAGCCUGAGGCUUUCACUUACUCAGAGAAGCAGAGACCAGGUAGUGGGUAGGAUCCCGGGCUCUCGUCGGCUACCGACUUCCGCUCUUGGCUCUGCUCCUUGCCAGCUGGAUGACCUGGAGGAAAUGCCAAACUCUCUAAGUUUUCCUAUCUGUAUAGAGGGCCGUUUUAUAACAGAGAUUGCUGGGGGAACGCAGUGAAAGAGAAAAUACACCAUACGGACUUGGCAUCGUGCCUGGCACAGAUGUCUAGGAGCUGUGACCCAGACCCGCGUCCCAGGACAGACUGGAGGUGGAGACAGAAAUGAGUGCUCACGUACACCUGCUCUAAGGAUGAGAGCAGAGGUUGAUGGGAAGUAGGCCACAGAACAGACCCCCAACUGGACACAACUGAGGCAGCCAGACUCAACCUCCAGGCCCUGCCCCUGAACUGCUGAAAUCAUGUGGAGAAGAAAGUUAGACAAGUGGGGCCAUGUAAGGCCCUGACCUGGACUGAACUUUGAGAUCUCCCAGGAUGUGGUGGACCCCUGGCAAAGACACAGACGAGGAAGCUGAGGAUCUGAGAGGAUAAGCCGAGACUUCGUUGAGUGGAUUCUAGAAGCAUCAGAAGCCUAAAUUCACCAGGCUCCUUUCGGCGUCCGUAAACUGGAUAGAUUCCCAUUGUGAGGCAACCACCAAGAGCCUGAAAACGUAGUACCGGCUGACGGAGGGUUACGUUGUACAGCAAGCAAAGGGAGUCAAAUCAAGGAAGGAGAGCUAACGGACUUCACUUGUGCCAGGCACCGUAGCUCUUUGUAUGUCUUCCCUCAUUUGAACCUCACAAGGGUCUUCUGAGCUGUGCUUGGCAUUUGCUACGCGGAGGUUGGCGUGGGGAGGCGUACCGUGGAGACACUGAGACCAGAUGCCUGAAUUUAACAGGUCUAUGGCUCAUUUGAGGAGAACGAGGACAAGUCGCAACAAACAAAACAAGGCAAGAGAGAGCGAGAGCGGUUGGGGAAGCAGCCACCAACUCUCACUCCAGAUGAAAGCUGCUUCAGAGGGAGGUAUCUGAUGCACAACUCUUCGCAAGCAGGUGGUCAGAGGAUUACCUGCAGAAAACCUCUUGGAAAACUGAGUUGCUGUGCACGUGCAGAUUUCCCCACGGGGCCCUUUUUGCGGCAUUCUUUUCCUGUACAGAAGUCACAAUGAAGUAUCCUUUGCACACAUCUCGUUCACC